GCGUUGUUUGAAAGGAGAGAAGGUGAAUACGCCCCUUGACAAGGAUGGAAGAGGCCCUUAAGCCUGCACAACACACAUGGUGAAGGCAUUUCCACCUACUUCGUGUACUCUAACCUUUGUUUUUA